rnacentral:rRNA from 1 species
UCUAAGCACAUGCCUUAAAACGGUGAAGCCGCGAAUAGCUCAUUACAACAGCCAUCGUUUAUUAGAAUAUCGUUAUCCUACUUGGAUAACUGUGGCAAUUCUAGAGCUAAUACAUGCAAUAAAGCUCUGCCCGCAAGGAACGAGCGCAUUUAUUAGAAUAAAAACCAAUCGGGUUUCGGCCCGUAAUUUGGUGAAUCUGAAUAACUUUGCCAAUCGCACAGUCCUAGUACUGGCGAUGUAUCUUUCAAGUGUCUGCCUUAUCAACUUUCGAUGGUACGCUAUACGCCUACCAUGGUAGUAACGGGUAACGGAGAAUAAGGGUUCGACUCCGGAGAGGGAGCCUGAGAAACGGCUACCACAUCCAAGGAAGGCAGCAGGCGCGCAAAUUACCCACUUCCAGAACGGAGAGGUAGUGACGAAAAAUAACGAGACAGUCCUCUUCGAGGUCUGUCAUCGGAAUGGGUACAAUUUACA